CUGGAACAAACGCCCUCACGGGUGCUACCCAGAAACCCUUUGUGAAUACUACCUAAAAUGUUGCCUCGGCAUUGGUUGGCCUCUUUGAGGUCCCUUUCCCUCGGGGAAGGAGCAGACCGGCCGGUGGCCCUAUAAACUCUUGUUUUUGUAAUAUCAUCUG
rnacentral:misc_RNA from 1 species